rnacentral:rRNA from 1 species
UACAGAGGGGGCAAGCGUUGUUCGGAAUUACUGGGCGUAAAGGGCGCGUAGGCGGCCUUCUAAGUCGAACGUGAAAUCCCCGGGCUCAAUCCGGGAACUGCGUCCGAUACUGGAAGGCUUGAAUCCGGGAGAGGGAUGCGGAAUUCCAGGUGUAGCGGUGAAAUGCGUAGAUAUUGGGAGGAACACCAGUGGCGAAGGCGGCUCACUGGACCGGAACUGACGCUGAGGCGCGAAAGCGUGGGGGAGCAAACAGG